UUUUUCUUUUACUAUAAUAAAAAAAUUCAAAUAUUUCAAUGAAUUUUAUCAAGUGAGCAUAUCCGUUGGAGGAUAUGAGAAUUUAAAAACAAAAUAGAUUCGUCGUAAAAUUAAUAAAUCUAUCUUCAAAAACAUUGUAGUCUCGUGAUAAAUAUUAUUAAUCCGAACUGCCCGACUAAUCUUACUCAACAGCCUUCGAAUUUCAACACCAAUUCAUCCCAUAGAAGGCUAAGUGCCCAAGAGAUUCAUCGGAAUCGAAGUUAUGGCAAACAAAUAUGUGAGAGAUCCAAAG
rnacentral:misc_RNA from 1 species